rnacentral:tRNA from 2 species
AGGUAGGGUGGCCGAGUAGGUGGCGGGCUGUAAACCCGCCAACGGGGCCCAGGCCCCCCCAACCA